rnacentral:rRNA from 1 species
AGAGUUUGAUCAUGGCUCAGGAUGAACGCUAGCUACAGGCUUAACACAUGCAAGUCGAGGGGAAACGACAUCGAAAGCUUGCUUUUGAUGGGCGUCGACCGGCGCACGGGUGAGUAACGCGUAUCCAACCUGCCCACCACUUGGGGAUAACCUUGCGAAAGUAAGACUAAUACCCAAUGACGUCUCUAGAAGACAUCUGAAAAGAGAUUAAAGAUUUAUCGGUGAUGGAUGGGGAUGCGUCUGAUUAGCUUGUUGGCGGGGUAACGCCGCAAGGCUACGAUCAGUAGGGGUUCUGAGAGGAAGGUCCCCCANAUUGGAACUGAGACACGGUCCAAACUUCUACGGGAGCA